rnacentral:rRNA from 1 species
CGUGCCAGCAGCCGCGGUAAUACGGGGGUGGCAAGCGUUACUCGGAAUUAUUGGGUGUAAAGGGCAAGUAGGCGGUCUAUUAAGUGAGGGGUGAAAUCUUCCGACUCAAUCGGAAAACUGCCUUUCAAACUACUAGACUUGAGAUUGGAAGAGGGAAACGGAAUUAGCAGUGUAAGGGUGAAAUCUGUAGAUAUUGCUAAGAACACCGGCGGCGAAGGCGGUUUCCUGGUCCAAAUCUGACGCUAAAUUGCGAAAGCUAGGGGAGCAAACAGAAUUAGAUACUCUGGUAGUCCUAGCCGUAAACGAUGAGCACUAGGUGUUGGAACUUCGGUUUCAGUGCCGCAGCUAACGCAUUAAGUGCUCCACCUGGGGACUACGGCCGCAAGGCUAAAACUCAAAGGAAUUGACGGGGACCCGCACAAGCGGUGGAACAUGUGGUUUAAUUCGAUGCUACGCGAAGAACCUCACCAAGGCUUGACAUGCUCGUCGUAUCUUCUUGAAAGGGAAGAGUCAUUUAGUUGGACGAUGCACAGGUGCUGCAUGGCUGUCGUCAGCUCGUGUCGUGAGAUGUUGGGUUAAGUCCCGCAACGAGCGCAACCAUUGCCCCAUGUUGCUACCAUACUUUAAACCUUCGGGUUUGGGUGUGCGCACUCUUGGGGGACUGCCUGGGAUAACCAGGAGGAAGGUGGAGAUGACGUCAAGUCAGUACGGCCUUUAUGCCCUGGGCUACACACGUGUUACAAUGGCUGGUACAAAGGGUUGCCAACCCGCGAGGGGGAGCUAAUCUCAAAAAGCCAGCCUCAGUUCGGAUUGGAGUCUGCAAUUCGACUCCAUGAAGCCGGAAUCGCUAGUAAUGGGAGAUCAGCUCGCUCCCGUGAAUACGUUCCCGGGUCUUGUACACACCGCCCGUCAAGCGAUGAAAGCUGGGGGUACCCGAAGUCCUAUGUAGAUAGGCCGAAGGUAAAACUAGUGAUUGGCGCUAAGUCGUAACAAGGUAGCCGUAC